rnacentral:rRNA from 1 species
UACGUAGGGUGCAAGCGUUGUCCGGAAUUAUUGGGCGUAAAGAGCUCGUAGGCGGUUUGUUGCGUCGGCUGUGAAAUCCCGAGGCUCAACCCCGGGCGUGCGGUGGAUACUGCCGGGCUAGAGGGUGGUAGAGGCGAGUGGAAUUCCCGGUGUAGCAGUGAAAUGCGUAGAUAUCAAGUGGAACACCAGUGGCGAAGGCGAGUCCCUGGAAAAUACCUGACACUGAGGCACGAAAGCUAGGGGAGCAAACAGG